rnacentral:tRNA from 1 species
GCUGGCUCAGUCAGUAGAGCAUGAGACUCUUGAUCUCAGGGUUGUGAGUUCAAGCCCCACGUUGGGCA